CAUGAAGCUGGAAUUGCUAGUAAUGGCAGGUCAGCAUACUGCCGUGAAUACGUUCCCGGGCCCUUGUACACACCGCCCGUCACACCAUGAGAGUUGGAAAUACCCGAAGCCUGUGAGCUAACUUAAAGAGGCAGCAGUCGAAGGUAGAGCCAAUGAUUGGGGUGAAGUCGUAACAAGGUAGC
rnacentral:rRNA from 1 species